UCCGGUUUGUCACCGGCAGUCUCUGCAGAGUCCCCGGCAUUACCCGCUGGCAACAUUGGACAGGGGUUGCGCUCGUUGCGCCACUUAAGGCAACACCUCACGGCACGAGCUGACGACAGCCGUGCAGCACCUGUGCAGGCUCCCGAAGGAGCGCCGGCUUUCACCGGCUUCACCCUGCAUGUCAAGUCCUGGUAAGGUUCUUCGCGUUGCGUCGAAUUAAGCCACAUGCUCCGCCGCUUGUGCGGGUCCCCGUCAAUUCCUUUGAGUUUUAGCCUUGCGGCCGUACUCCCCAGGCGGGGUGCUUAAUGCGUUAGCUUCGGCACAGAGGGAGUCGACACCCCCUACACCUAGCACCCAUCGUUUACGGCGUGGACUAC
rnacentral:misc_RNA from 1 species